UAGGGAAUCUUCCGCAAUGGACGCAAGUCUGACGGAGCAACGCCGCGUGAGUGAAGAAGGUCUUCGGAUCGUAAAGCUCUGUUGUUAGAGAAGAACAGCGCAUAGAGUAACUGUUAUGCGUGUGACGGUAUCUAACCAGAAAGCCACGGCUAACUACGUGCCAGCAGCCGCGGUAAUACGUAGGUGGCGAGCGUUGUCCGGAUUUAUUGGGCGUAAAGGGAGUGUAGGCGGUCUUUUAAGUCUGAUGUGAAAGCCCACGGCUCAACCGUGGAGGGUCAUUGGAAACUGGGAGACUUGAGUGCAGAAGAGGAGAGCGGAAUUCCAUGUGUAGCGGUGAAAUGCGUAGAUAUAUGGAGGAACACCAGUGGCGAAGGCGGCUCUCUGGUCUGUAACUGACGCUGAGGCUCGAAAGCGUGGGGAGCAAACAGGAUUAGAUACCCUGGUAGUCCACGCCGUAAACGAUGAGUGCUAAGUGUUGGAGGGGUUCCACCCUUCAGUGCUGGAGUUAACGCAAUAAGCACUCCGCCUGGGGAGUACGGNCGCAAGGCUG
rnacentral:rRNA from 1 species